GCUGGGGGAAACUCCAGGUAAUACUCGAUAAGCUCUACGGAGGAAAGCUCCGGCGCCUUGGGAGCGGCGAUACUCCUAUCAGGUAGUUGGUGGGGUAAAGGCCUACCAAGCCAAAGACGGGUAGCGGGUGUGAGAGCAUGACCCGCAGCAUCGGGACUGAGACACUGCCCGGACUCCUACGGGAGGCUGCAGUAACGAAUCUUCCGCAAUGCGCGAAAGCGUGACGGAGCAAUGCCGCGUGUGGGAUGAAGCGGUUUCGCCGCGUAAACCACUGUCAGGUCCUAGGAAGAACUGACCGGGACCAGAGGAAGGGCCGGCUAAUCUCGUGCCAGCAGCCGCGGUAAGACGAGAGGCCCGAGCGUUAAUCAGAAUCACUGGGCUUAAAGGGUGCGUAGGCGGACUUGUAAGUGUCCUGUGAAAUCCCACGGCUCAACCGUGGAAUUGCGGGGCAAACUGUAAGUCUUGAGGCAGGUAGAGGUCGUCGGAACGUUCGGUGGAGCGGUGAAAUGCGUAGAUAUCGAACGGAACGCCGAAGGAGAAGGCAGUCUGCUGGGCCUGUUCUGACGCUCAGGCACGAAAGCGUGGGGAGCAAACAUGAUUAUAUACCCUGGUAGUCCACGCCGUAAACGAUGUGCACUAGAUCGAGGUGGCUCUCACGCCUUCUCGGUCGAAGGAAAACCGUUAAGUGCACCGCCUGGGGAGUACGGUCGCAAGGCUAAAACUCAAAGAAAUUGACGGGGGCCCGCACAAGCGGUGGAGCAUGUGGUUUAAUUCGAAGCAACGCGCAGAACCUUACCAACCCUUGACAUCCCUGUCGCGGAUACCGGAGACGGUUUCCUUCAGUUCGGCUGGACAGGUGACAGGUGCUGCAUGGCUGUCGUCAGCUCGUGUCGUGAGAUGUUCGGUUAAGUCCGGCAACGAGCGCAACCCACAUCCCUAGAUGCCAGCAGUUCGGCUGGGCACUCUAUGGAAACUGCCCGUGAUAAGCGGGAGGAAGGUGUGGAUGACGUCAAGUCCUCAUGGCCCUUACGGGUU
rnacentral:rRNA from 1 species